AGAUUCCUGGGAGACUCAAAACCCUGUUCAACUCUCUCUGGGCUAGGUGCUCCCCUCCCCAAGAGGAUUUCUCUCCAGAGCUGGUAUCAUCGCUUAAUGAUGUUCCACCAAUAAGGGGAAGGUUUCUCAUCUGGGAGCUGCUAUCACUGAAUACAUAAAGAAAUUGAGCCUGUAUGAUUUCAAUCUUCACCUUCUGAUGCUGAUGAAACAGGAUUCUAUGCAGUUUGCAGGGGGCCUGGAGGAGUGAAUCAGUGGCAGUGAGUGACAGAGUGGUCUCAGCAGGAAGAGGUGGAGGCAACGCUGGGAUUUGGAAAUGCCUCUAGAAAAUCCUCUCCAGUGAAGUAAUUGCAUCCAUUUCAUCUUCCCAGCCCUCCUCUAGAUGGGAGGUGGAGGUGUGUGUACCAAUGUCUUAAUUCAGAAAUGAGACAAAAGGAGGAAAAAGGAGUUCAGGAGGACAGUGAGGACUCCAGACAGAGCCUGGGGACUUGGCUGCCUUGGAACCAGAACCUGGCCCUUCAGAGGAGUUGCAGAAUUUCGAUAGAGGAGUUGGGGGAGGUGUACUGGCUGAAGAGGAGGCCAAGGAACUCCUUUUCAUUCAUCAAAACUCAGCUUAUCACCUCUACCAUGAAGUCAUCCUGGACAUCACUCGUCCCAGUUAAUCACUCAAUCAUCUUUGCCAUCCUUGACCUGGGAUGAGAACAUUGCCCUCAUUGGUCUGGAAUCAGCAGGUACCUCAUGGCUGGAGGUGUAUUUUCAGAUGGAGUCUCACUCUGUCGCUCAGGCUGGAGUGUAGUGGUGCAAUCUCAGCUUAUUGCAACCUCUGCCUCCUGGGUUCGAGCGAUUCUCCUGCCUCAGCUUCCCCAGUAGCAGGGACUACGGGACUACAGACUCCUUUGGCAUCUGGUGAGGCCUGUGGAUUCAUUCUCAGAAUCACAUUUUUAAAUGCACAUAAUAAAAUACAUAGAGUUGCAAAGGAAGUUAAUUAUAUUGAAAUACAGUUAUCAAAAAUAUGAAUAAAACAAGUAUGUGGUACAGUCA